GUAUGUGAAAAGUAAAUGACAAAGCUACAUUUUACACUCUGAAAAGUCAUUCUCCCCAGCCUACAUUCUUGCUAUGACACAUGCUGACUCACAGUUCGAUGACACAAGUAAGCAUUUGUUUUGAGCCUUGAUCAGCUCAUGGGCAUAAUUAAAGUUGAGCCCACUGCAAGAUCUUAAACCCUUCCAAAAACAAACCCCCGAAGAGGUACUUUCGUAGAAGGAGACCCGCACCCAGGAAUCAUCGAGACCACGAGCUUGGAUGCAAAACCACAAGAGGCUUUAUUGGAGAUACAGAUCUGUGUAAGAGUGGUGAGAAGUAGCCAUGCCAUGGUGAGACUAUGAUACCUUGUAGUUUUCUCCACCAGAGGAAUUAGUCCAUUACUCCUGAGUUCAGCAUCACUCAAGUCCUCAGAAUAUGGACAGAAGUUCCGGCCUAGGCCCAGCCCAGGAUGAUGUGGUGGACUUUGAGGAGCCCCAUCGAGGGCCCUACCCUGCCUGGGGAGUGGAG
rnacentral:lncRNA from 1 species